UAUUGAAAAUUGUUAAGGAUCUGACUACCAUCCAUUUUUGUUUUUAAGAAAGAGAAAAGUUUAGAACUUCAGAUACAUGCCACCUCAAAUACUGCAAUUUGGAGAUAUGAUGUUACAAAAUCUGGGUAUAGAAGGGUCCCAUUGUGAGGUUAACAUGUCUGCACAUAUGCACCAAAUCGACCUAUUUGCACCCUUCUUUCCAACCCCUCUUCCUGAAAUCUCCACCCCAUCCCAUGGUUGCCUC
rnacentral:lncRNA from 1 species